UGUCGUCGGUAAGAAAUAAGAAUCUCGUUUGCGCGCGAAGAGUGUUGCGUCUUUAAAUGUAUCAUUUAUCGUCAGCAAACGAACUCGAUGAUCUAUCGAACGCCAUCGAGAUCAACUUCGAUUAGUAUCGCAGCAAAUUUUGUUAAUAUGGCGUGUAGAAUAAAAUGUCAAUAACGUAGUAGAUUUAACAAAAUCACACGAUACGAGAAAGAUGGAUUUUUCGAUAAUAUCAUAAAUGUAGUUUAUUAAUAAAUCAAAUGUAAUUACGUGAAGCCGAUGUGAAGUAACCUGUGCAGUUAAUAAUGUUUGCCUGAAUCGCUCAAUUAAUUAAAUAUGGAAAUAUGGAAAACACUGGAAACCUAAAAAAAGAGCAAACGACUUAAAAGUAUACGAGUAAAUUUAUUUCUUUAUAUCAUCGACCAACGAUCUCUUCAUGGAGAGAUUAUUUCUAUCAUCAUAAGGAACAAUUCACGGACGAAUAUUACGCAGUUAUCAAAAUUGGAGUUUCCAGGUGUAAUCUACAGAGUCAAAUAAAAAAUUAAAAACCCAUUUCUGCGUCGGUAGCUUUCAAGGAUAGAAGAUGCAUAUUCUCGCGAUGCAAACACGUGUUUGUCAAUUUGCUUGGAAUGCGAGGAAGGUGUCCGAGGAUGGCAAUUAAGAGAUAAAAGAAAACGAUAAAAAUCAAUCAGAGGUCACCGAUUCGAGAUCACAAAUACGCAAUAAGUAGCAGUUCGAAGGGUCUCGGUGUGGGCUGAAAAAACCGGUUUCAGGUAAUGAUGGACUACCUACUUGCAGCCCAGUCAGGCAGAUUAUAAUGAACUUUUUUGGUGUAAAUAACUAGUGAUGGGCUUAAGUACGUCGCAAGUAGGGUGGAACAUUAAUCGACUAGAUUCGAGCUCUCUAGAAGUAAACAUUUAUCUGAUUCGGAUUUAUAAUAUACGUAUUCCACUUGAUCCCAUCACUAUCAAUAAGCUGGUUGCAGAUUUUUCAACCAAAAUCUUCGUUCGUUUAUCGACCCUGUGACUAAGGAACUCGGAUCUAAAGCAACAAAAAAUUAAUUAUCCAAUGAAUUUGCAACUUUACACGCGUAUCCUAUAUACAUUCCUUUACCUUGGAGUUAUUGGAGUUAUAGUCUCUAUUAUAAUUUUAUUUACGGUAAUACAUUCAAAUUGGAAUGCGCAUCCAACUUCGAUAUUCUACCCUUCGUGUUUCGUGAUUUAGUUGUAUUUCUGUUAACAAUUCGAUAGACGAAAAUUAUAUAAAUUCGAAGUCAUGGUAAAUCUUUCUUUUUGUUGAAGAGAAAAUUUGGAGAUAAUCAUGGCUAACAUAUACGGGAUGAACUUAUCAAUAGUUUACAUACACUUUAAAGCUUUCUUGUUUAGUAAUUUUCUUCUUUUCAUAGCAUUUAUGGUUCAAAGAUAAAUAAACGUAUUUAUAAAAUUAUAGAAUGCUUGAGAAAUUUGUAAAAAAUUGUCUUAAAAAAGUUAGAACUUUUUAAAAACCGUCGUAAAACCUUAAUUUGAGAACUAAGUCUCUCUAAUUGACCUGACGAGUUGAUUUAAUUGACCGCGAUAUCAAGGGCCCGAAAGCAUCAGAGGCAGCUACUUGUAUUUUGUUUUUGAAUCUCGAUCUCGAUUCACGUUGACGUUCAGAUUGCAGAUGAUACUUGUAAUAAAUUUCGCGGCAUUAUGUUUGGCCUGAUCGUAAAACGUGGAAUGUAAACGAGGGCGAAUGGCGGAUUAAACGCGAGGAACCAAAUCUGACCAACAUUGUGAUAUUAUUCGCCGGCUGAUCGUAAAGAAUGGAAUGUAAAGAAAGAACUUGUCCUCUAGUGACCUGAGAACUUGGCCAACAGACGGUUUCGAAAGAUGUACGCACGAUAUCUAUGCUUUUUAUGUAUCUCGGCAGAAGUUUGGAAUUAAUGAUUCUUUUAAUACCUUAGUUCCUGAUACAUUUUAAGUUGAUAAAAGAUUGCUUCCGAGAAUAAUCGUUGGUUAGUUCCUUUUAGAGUUAUUUGAGAAAUUAAAUAUCGACGAUUUUUUAAAGGUUUACAGAAAAAAGUGUUUUCAUUGUACUAUAAGUUAGAGAAUUAUUAGUUUACUUCAAUAAAGCAUAUCUCUCUAACAAUGAUAGUAAGUAUCUUUCUAAUUGUGUUUAGUGAUUUCAAUUGCGUUCAAAAUUAUGAAAGUAUACGAUAUAAACUUGAUACAAAUUGGAACACUACAUAUCUAUAUGGCAACUGAACAUUUUCAAUUUAUGCAGGCCAACAGUAUUCAAGCGCACUCUACCUAGAUACCAUUUAAACUACAGACGAAGUACAAACAUUGACCCGUAUACUUUUCUUUGCGCGUUGACAAAUUUGAACGGAAUAUAACUGAAACAGUCGAUACGUAUUUAUAAUUGACCCCUCGUCGUUGACUGUAUCGUGUACGUAUAUACACACGUAGAUAUUUGCCGUCCAAAAGGUUCUUCGGCUUAGUGUUCCUUUAGCCGAUAACGUAGUUUGCAUUAAAAAUUCGCACUUGCCAUUGGAUAAAUGAAAACUUCAAAAUACCAGUUUUGAUGUAAUUUCAUGGGUACGUCAGAUUUUUUGGAACAUUUAUUUACCAGUAAAAUUUUAGGCUGACUUACUUUCGUUCGUGUAAGGAGGUUUGCUGGCGCAUAGGGAUAUUUCAGUUAAUCUUUAAUUCUCAAUAACUAAUAAACAAAGCCGAUUCUUGAUUUUCGUUUUAUUUUAGCUUCAAGGAUCAUCCCUUAAAUUUUUUACAG